rnacentral:rRNA from 1 species
ACGAAGGGUGCAAGCGUUAAUCGGAAUUACUGGGCGUAAAGCGUGCGUAGGCGGUUUGGUAAGAUGGGUGUGAAAUCCCCGGGCUUAACCUGGGAAUGGCCCUUGUGACUGCAGGGCUGGAGUGCGGCAGAGGGGGGUGGAAUUCCGCGUGUAGCAGUGAAAUGCGUAGAGAUGUGGAGGAACACCGAUGGCGAAGGCAGCCCCCUGGGCCGAUACUGACGCUCAUGCACGAAAGCGUGGGGAGCAAACAG